ensembl:lncRNA
GGACAGUCAAUCGCCUGAUGAAGACCGACAGAACAUCGUGGACUUGAAUACAGCAGGCAAACGACAGUGCCACUGAUCCAUUAACACUGAUGACGACUGACGACCAGCAGCAGCAUGUAAGACUAAUGCAACAUAAAAUAAGCCAGUCUUUGGCUCGAAAUUGUGCAGCUUGAGCUCUUACUUUGUCCUUCACCCCGAGAAGACACGCAAAAGACAGUUAAUCACCUGAUGAAGACAGAUAGAACAUCGUGGACUUGAAUACAGCAGGCAAACGACAGGGCCACUGAUCCAUUAACACUGAUGACGACUGACGACCAGCAGCAGCAUGUAAGACUAAUGCAACAUGUACUGUGAAAAUACAGGCUGGGCAGUUGAACAGUGGGAUAAAGAAUUGUGGAAGAGCACUGGACAUUGAGUGAUAUUUUGCCAUGCUGGGACUUAAUCUGAAAGAAAAGACUGUAAAGAAACAGAGAAGAAGACAGCAGCUGAGUUGAGACUGUGUUUGCUGGAGCUUUGAAGCCCGAAUAGGACAUUGUGCAGAGAGGACCAGUGAGAGAUGAAGCUGGACGAGUUUGACUGCGAGAAUAUAGGAUAUAAUUGGAUUGAAAAUUGAAGCCUGAACUCAUGAAUUGUUUAGGGAUGUCCACUACAGCAUAACAAAGAGGUAAACAUUAGAAAAGGUGAGAAUAAUGAAAGAAAUAAUUGUCAUUACCUUAAUGAAUAGAAAACACACAUACAAAUUGUUACAUGUGAGAUAUUUUUGAAAUGAAUCAGAAGUGAGAUAGUUUGAAUCUAAAGCUCAGUGGUGAAAUGCAUAAAUUAAAUAUGAAUAUAUAGGAUGCAAUGAAGAAACAGCUUACACGUAGUGUACAUUAACAUGAAUACAUCGCAAGGCAACGAAGAACUCAAUGAAUUAAUUUAAUGAAGAAGUAGUAUACACCCAAUUAACAUAAAAUGCAGGGAAGAACACGCUUACAUGCAUGGCAUAAUUGGUGUUUCUGACCAGAGACAGAGAAAUGGGUUAUUUAACCACUGGUGAUAAUAAUGAAAAUGUCUUAGUUUUGUUAUUUUCAGGAGUAAAGCAGACUUGGACCGGCUCUCCACAGCAGCAGUCGGAAGAAAGUUAGAGGUUAACAUCUAUGGAUAAGUUAAGGCAAGUUUCUGGUUGAAUUGUUCACAGCAUGAUGUGUCCAGGAACCUGAAAAGCAAGCCCCAGCUCCUGGCUGAAGACCAG